CAUGGCUCAGAUUGAACGCUGGCGGCAGGCCUAACACAUGCAAGUCGAGCGGUAGAGAGAAGCUUGCUUCUCUUGAGAGCGGCGGACGGGUGAGUAAUGCCUAGGAAUCUGCCUGGUAGUGGGGGAUAACGUUCGGAAACGGACGCUAAUACCGCAUACGUCCUACGGGAGAAAGCAGGGGACCUUCGGGCCUUGCGCUAUCAGAUGAGCCUAGGUCGGAUUAGCUAGUUGGUGAGGUAAUGGCUCACCAAGGCGACGAUCCGUAACUGGUCUGAGAGGAUGAUCAGUCACACUGGAACUGAGACACGGUCCAGACUCCUACGGGAGGCAGCAGUGGGGAAUAUUGGACAAUGGGCGAAAGCCUGAUCCAGCCAUGCCGCGUGUGUGAAGAAGGUCUUCGGAUUGUAAAGCACUUUAAGUUGGGAGGAAGGGCAGUUACCUAAUACGUGAUUGUUUUGACGUUACCGACAGAAUAAGCACCGGCUAA
rnacentral:rRNA from 1 species